GGGCUGUUAGCUCAGUUGGUAGAGCAGUGGACUCUUAAUCCAUUUGUCCGGAGUUCGAAUCUCCGACGGCCCACCA
rnacentral:tRNA from 1 species